CCUACGGGAGGCUGCAGUAGGGCAUAUUGCUCAAUGGGGGAAACCCUGAAGCAGCAACGCCGCGUGGAGGAUGAAGGUUUUAGGAUUGUAAACUCCUUUUGUUAGAGAAGAUUAUGACGGUAUCUAACGAAUAAGCACCGGCUAACUCCGUGCCAGCAGCCGCGGUAAUACGGAGGGUGCAAGCGUUACUCGGAAUCACUGGGCGUAAAGAGUGCGUAGGCGGGGUAAUAAGUCAGAUGUGAAAUCCUGUAGCUUAACUACAGAACUGCAUUGGAAACUGGCGAACUAGAGUGCGGGAGGGGUAAGCGGAAUGCCUAGUGUAGCGGUGAAAUGCUUAGAUAUCAUGAAGAACUCCGAUCGCGAAGGCAAGUGUCCGGGGUGCAACUGACGCUGAGGCUCGAAAGUGCGGGUAUCAAACAGGAUUAGAUACCCCUGUAGUC
rnacentral:rRNA from 1 species